rnacentral:rRNA from 1 species
UACGUAGGGUGCAAGCGUUAAUCGGAAUUACUGGGCGUAAAGCGUGCGCAGGCGGUCCGUUAAGACAGAUGUGAAAUCCCCGGGCUUAACCUGGGAACUGCAUUUGUGACUGGCGGACUCGAGUAUGGCAGAGGGGGGGUAGAAUUCCACGUGUAGCAGUGAAAUGCGUAGAGAUGUGGAGGAAUACCGAUGGCGAAGGCAGCCCCCCUGGGCCAAUACUGACGCUCAU